rnacentral:lncRNA from 1 species
CAUGAGCAACUGCUUGAUGGGCAGUUCACAGGACAGACGCAGGUAGCUGAGCGCCUGUGCGUCCUCCUCCAGGGCGUCUUGGGAGUUGCGGCUCGGAGGCGACGGGUUGUUGAUGUAGCUCUUCAACUUGGACGUUGCGAGGAAAUCGCCUAACUCGCCGAGCCAGUGGGAGUAGUUCGACCCAUCCCAGAGGAUGACGGUCUUACAUCCCUUCCCCAUGAUGGUUGGCUAGCGAGCGUGACUGAUGAAGACGCGUUCCCCGCCGCUUUUCUGGCAACUAGUUGGUGUAAUGAUGCAUCCUUGGUCCGGCGUACGACGGCUCCUGAUGCGAUCUAUGCCCUCUCAACCUCCCAGGCAUGUCCCCACCUGCCUCACAGCCACCGACGCAUCUCACGGCGGGGGUCUAAUUGCGUGCGCGUAUGGAUGCUCCUAUUCCUGCCGCCUUUCUAGCAACUAGUUAAUGUUAUGAUGCAUCGUUGGUCCGGCGUACGACGGCGCCUGGUGCGAUUUAUGCGUCCGGAAGCCCUUUCAGCCUCCAAGGCAUGUCCCCACCUGCCUCACAGCCACUGACGCAUCUCACGGCGGGGGUCUAAUUGCGUGCGCGUAUGGAUGCUCCUAUUCCUGCCGCCUUUCUUACAACUAGUUAAUGUUAUGAUGCAUCGUUGGUCCGGCGUACGACGGCGCCUGGUGCGAUUUAUGCGUCCGGAAGCCCUUUCAGCCUCCCAGGCAUGUCCCACCUGCCUCACAGCCACCGACGCAUCUCACGGCGGGGGUCUAAUUGCGUGCGCGUAUGGAUGCUCCUUUCCCCGCCGCCUUUCUAGCAAGUAGUUAAUGUUAUGAUGCAUCGUUGGUCCGGCGUACGACGGCGCCUGGUGCGAUUUAUGCGUCCGGAAGCCCUUUCAGCCUCCCAGGCAAGUCCCACCUGCCUCACAGCCACCGACGCAUCUCACGGCGGGGUUCUAAUUGCGUGCGCGUAUGGAUGCUCCUUUCCCC